GGUGAACGUUGGCGGUGCGUCUAAUACAUGCAAGUCGAGCGCGUCUUCGGACGAGCGGCGGACGGCUGAGUAACACGUUAGUAGCUACCCCCUACUCAGGGAUAACCAUUGGAAACGAUGGCUAAUACCGGAUGGUCCCGAAAGGGUAAAGAUUUUUCGGUAGGGGAGGUGCUUGCGGCCUAUCAGCUUGUUGGUGAGGUAAUAGCUCACCAAGGCUAUGACGGGUAACUGGUCUGAGAGGAUGAUCAGUCAGAGGGAAACUGAGACACGGUUCCC
rnacentral:rRNA from 1 species